AUUGAACGCUGGCGGCAGGCCUAACACAUGCAAGUCGAACGAGUGGCGGACGGGUGAGUAAUGUCUGGGAAACUGCCCGAUGGAGGGGGAUAACUACUGGAAACGGUAGCUAAUACCGCAUACCAUCGGAUGUGCCCAGAUGGGAUUAGCUAGUAGGUGGGGUAACGGCUCACCUAGGCGACGAUCCCUAGCUGGUCUGAGAGGAUGACCAGCAACACUGGAACUGAGAAACGGGCCAGACGCCGACGGGAGGCAGCAGUGGGGAAUAUGGCACAAGGGGCGCAAGCCUGAUGCAGCCAUGCCGCGUGUAUGAAGAAGGCCUUAGGGUGGUAAAGUACUUUCAGCGGGGAGGCGUUACCCGCAGAAGAAGCACCGGCUAACUCCGUGCCAGCAGCCGCGGUAAUUC
rnacentral:rRNA from 1 species